GUGCUUUUGGCAGCACAUCUACUAAAAUUGGAACGACACAGAGAAAAUCAGCAUGGCCCUCUUGCAAGGAUGACACACAAAUUUGUGAAGCAUCCCAUAUUUUA